GUAUUAAUUUGUAUUUAAGUGUAUUGAACAAGAUAAAGUAAAUAUAUGAGUGCGACGCGGUCGGGUCGGGCGGUGUUAUGUGUCCGAUUUCUUAUUUGUACACUAUUGGUAUUUAUAAUUGAUGGAGCAAGCAGAAACUGAUUGAGCACACAGUGUGUCAGCCGAAUUCGAGAGAACGACUGACAAUUCAUGGACUGGAGACGUGUGUGCCGGCCUUAACAGAUGCUGGCAGAAUGCGCGCCCGGUGCAUCGAUGACAGACUGUUUAAUCAAACCAUGAACUUUCAUUAUUUAUUAAAGAUUCCGUUUUCUUUUUGCCUUCGGUGCAAUGAUUUGUAUGAUCUAAAGGAACGUGGUUCUAAUUGAGCAAACGCGUACCGUACGCCAUUACCAUAAAAUACGAUAGUAACCUUUUCAUUGAGUGUUCUGAAGCCAAUAUUUUAAUUCAACAGUUAAUUAUGAAUGACUGCUGGAUUUUUUAAUAUUACCUGCGUAAUCAGUGGUGUGACGUCAUAGAUACGAAAAUUAAUUGGCUAUACUGAGUGCAUUACGAACUUGGGUUAGAGAAGGAAUUUUAUAUUUUGUCCGCGUCCGCUAGUACUGAAUUUAACCCAGUGACAACCCAGUAAAGCCUUGAUAGCCCCGUGGAUAUGACCUCUGCCUUCGAUUUGGAGGGCGUAGGUUCGAAUCCGGUCCGGGGCAUGCUCCUCCAACUUUUCAAUUACGUGCAUUUUAAGAAAUUAAAUAUCACGUGUCUCAAAAGCUGAAGGAAAAACAUCAUAAGGAAACCUGCAUACCUGAGAAUUUUCUUAAUUCUCUACGUGUGUGAAGUCUGCCAGUCCGCAUUGGACCAGCGUGGUGGACUAUUGGCCUAACCCCUCUCAUUCUGAGAGGAGACUUGUGCUCAACAGUGAGCCAAAAAUGGGUUGCUAACAAAGACUGCCUAUACUGAGGACUGUAUUACAAACUUGGGUUAAAGAAGGAAUUUUAAAUUUUAUACAAUUUGUGCUUUUAUCGCCUACCAUAUUUAGAAAUUUUGUGCACACCACUGCACGUACCUAAUAUAUACUGUAGCUCGUUAGCUAAGCAGCUUUGACCAUAAAGUCCUGGGUUCAAGUCUUGAAUCGAGCUAUGCAAUACUGAGCUUUUCUUAUUUCUAAUAAUUCUUAGUUGCAGGUUGGAGCUAUGACGUCAGUGCUAAAACCCGAAGCACGAAUGGGUUUAAUCGUCUUGGUUACUAACAAGUAUAAUUAACAUCUGAUAGUGAUCGUUAUACAGAUUCUAAGCAUUAUCAUUUUUUGCCCGCCAACCGGCAAUGAAGCAGCAUGUUGAGUCUACGCUCCCAAUCUUUUCUUCCUACACGUAGAGAAGGUUAACCCUGUAGAAGACCAAUUAAAAUAGACUUCAUUUUCAAACCAAACUAACUUUAAUUAAAUCGCCCUCAGAUUCUGUUAUCUCUAACUCAGUUAUAUCUCCAAAUCACCCUACAAAUGCAAAAAAUUACUAAUUUCGUCUUACGCAU